AAAUUGAAGAGUUUGAUCAUGGCUCAGAUUGAACGCUGGCGGCAGGCCUAACACAUGCAAGUCGAACGGUAACAGGAAGCAGCUUGCUGCUUCGCUGACGAGUGGCGGACGGGUGAGUAAUGUCUGGGAAACUGCCUGAUGGAGGGGGAUAACUACUGGAAACGGUGGCUAAUACCGCAUAAUGUCGCAAGACCAAAGAGGGGGACCUUCGGGCCUCUUGCCAUCAGAUGUGCCCAGAUGGGAUUAGCUUGUUGGUGAGGUAACUGCUCACCAAGGCGACGAUCCCUAGCUGGUCUGAGAGGAUGACCAGCCACACUGGAACUGAGACACGGUCCAGACUCCUACGGGAGGCAGCAGUGGGGAAUAUUGCACAAUGGGCGCAAGCCUGAUGCAGCCAUGCCGCGUGUAUGAAGAAGGCCUUCGGGUUGUAAAGUACUUUCAGCGGGGAGGAAGGUGUUG
rnacentral:rRNA from 1 species